GCGAGCGUAGUUCAACGGUAGAACGGUGCUCCUUUGAAUUGCUAACUAGAUACUAACAGAUGUAGGUUCGACUCCUGCCGCUCGCAUCA
rnacentral:tRNA from 1 species